rnacentral:rRNA from 1 species
UGGGGAAUAUUGGACAAUGGGCGCAAGCCUGAUCCAGCAAUGCCGCGUGUGUGAAGAAGGCCUUCGGGUUGUAAAGCACUUUUAUCAGGAGCGAAACGCUGUCGGCUAAUACCCGGCGGAACUGACGGUACCUGAGGAAUAAGCACCGGCUAACUUCGUGCCAGCAGCCGCGGUAAUACGAAGGGUGCAAGCGUUAAUCGGAAUUACUGGGCGUAAAGCGUGCGUAGGCGGUUUCUUAAGUCUGCUGUGAAAUCCCCGGGCUCAACCUGGGAAUGGCAGUGGAUACUGGGAGGCUAGAGUGUGUCAGAGGGUGGUGGAAUUCCCGGUGUAGCGGUGAAAUGCGUAGAGAUCGGGAGGAACAUCAGUGGCGAAGGCGGCCACCUGGGACAACACUGACGCUGAGGCACGAAAGCGUGGGGAGCAAACAGGAUUAGAUACCCUGGUAGUCCACGCCCUAAACGAUGCGAACUGGAUGUUGGUCUCAACUCGGAGAUCAGUGUCGAAGCUAACGCGUUAAGUUCGCCGCCUGGGGAGUACGGUCGCAAGACUGAAACUUAAAUGAAUUGACGGGGGUCAUAGCUG